UACGAAGGGGGCUAGCGUUGUUCGGAAUUACUGGGCGUAAAGCGCACGUAGGCGGAUUGUUAAGUCAGGGGUGAAAUCCCAGGGCUCAACCCCGGAACUGCCUUUCAUACUGGCAAUCUUGAGUCCGGGAGAGGUGAGUGGAAUUCCGAGUGUAGAGGUGAAAUUCGUAGAUAUUCGGAGGAACACCAGUGGCGAAGGCGGCUCACUGGCCCGGUACUGACGCUGAGGUGCGAAAGCGUGGGGAGCAAACAGG
rnacentral:rRNA from 1 species